GAGGAUGCGAGCGUUAUCCGGAUUUAUUGGGUUUAAAGGGUGCGUAGGCGGACUGUUAAGUCAGCGGUAAAAGCCCGGGGCUCAACCCCGGCGAGCCGUUGAAACUGGCGGUCUUGAGACGUCGAGAAGUAUGCGGAAUGCGCAGUGUAGCGGUGAAAUGCUUAGAUAUUGCGCAGAACUCCGAUUGCGAAGGCAGCAUACCGGCGGCGCUCUGACGCUGAGGCACGAAAGCGUGGGUAGCGAA
rnacentral:rRNA from 1 species